rnacentral:rRNA from 1 species
CUGCGAAUGGCUCAUUAUAUAAGUUAUCGUUUAUUUGAUAGUACCUUACUACUUGGAUAACCGUGGUAAUUCUAGAGCUAAUACAUGCUGCAAACCCCGACUCCGGAAGGGGCGUAUUUAUUAGAUCCAAAGCCAACGCCCCUCUGGGGCUCCUUGGUGAUUCAUGAUAACUCUUCGAAUCGCACGGCCUUGCGCCGGCGAUGGUUCAUUCAAAUUUCUUCCCUAUCAACUUUCGAUGUUUGGGUAUAGGCCAAACAUGGUCGCAACGGGUAACGGAGGGUUAGGGCUCGACCCCGGAGAAGGAGCCUGAGAGACGGCUACUACAUCCAAGGAAGGCAGCAGGCGCGCAAAUUACCCAAUCCCGACACGGGGAGGUAGUGACAAUAAAUACUGAUACAGGGCUCUUUAGGGUCUUGUAAUUGGAAUGAGUACAGUUUAAACCCCUUAGCGAGGAACAAUUGGAGGGCAAGUCUGGUGCCAGCAGCCGCGGUAAUUCCAGCUCCAAUAGCGUAUAUUAAAGUUGUUGUGGUUAAAAAGCUCGUAGUUGAACCUUGGGCCUGGCUGGCCGGUCCGCCUCACCGCGUGCACUGGUCCGGCCGGGCCUUUCCCUCUGCGGAACCCCAUGCCCUUCGCUGGGCGUGGCGGGGAGGCAGGACGUUUACUUUGAAAAAAUUAGAGUGCUCCAGGCAGGCCUAUGCUCGGAUACAUUAGCAUGGAAUAAUGAAACAGGACGCGCGGUUCCGUUUCGUUGGCUCUAGGGACCGCCGUAAUGAUCGAUAGGGACAGUCGGGGGCAUCAGUAUUCAGCUGUCAGAGGUGAAAUUCUUGGAUUUGCUGAAGACUAACUACUGCGAAAGCAUUUGCCAAGGAUGUUUUCAUUAAUCAGGAACGAAAGUUAGGGGAUCGAAGACGAUCAGAUACCGUCGUAGUCCUAACCAUAAACUAUGCCGACUAGGGAUCGGACGAUGUUGUCUCUUGACUCGUUCGGCACCUUGCGAGAAAUCAAA